rnacentral:rRNA from 1 species
GACGAACGCUGGCGGCGUGCUUAACACAUGCAAGUCGAACGGAAAGGCCCUGCUUUUGUGGGGUGCUCGAUUGGCGAACGGGUGAGUAACACGUGAGUAACCUGCCCUUGACUUUGGGAUAACUUCAGGAAACUGGGGCUAAGACCGGAUAGGAUCUCCUGCUGCAUGGUGGGGGUUGGAAAGUUUCGGCGGUUGGGGAUGGACUCGCGGCUUAUCAGCUUGUUGGUGGGGUAGUGGCUUACCAAGGCUUUGGCGGGUAGCCGACUGGGAGGGUGACCGGCCACAUUGGGACUGAGAUACGGCACCGACUCGUAAGGGAGGCCGCAGUGCGGAAUCUUGCACCAUGGGCGGAGGCCUGAUGAAGCAACGCCGCGUGCGGGAUGACGGCCUUCGGGUUGUAAACCGCCUUCGCCUGUGACGAAGCGUGAGUGACGGUAAUGGGUAAAGAAGCACCGGCUAACUACGUG